rnacentral:RNase_P_RNA from 1 species
GGAGUCGGCCAGGCAAUCGCUGUUUUCGCGAGAAGGCAGAGGAAAGUCCGGGCUCCGCAUGGCACGGCGCCAGGUAACGCCUGGGGGGCGCGAGCCCACGGAAAGUGCAACAGAAAAUACACCGCCCAAGCGUGCGCAAGCACGACGGCAAGGGUGAAAAGGUGCGGUAAGAGCGCACCGCGUCGACGGUAACGGCGACGGCACUGAAAACCCCGCCGGGAGCAAGGCCAAAUAGGGAAACACGCGGCGCAAGCCGCAGCGCGCGGCCCGCGCGCGUUUCCGGGUAGGCCGCUUGAGGUGCACGGCGACGUGUAUCCCAGAGGAAUGGUUGCCCACGACAGAACCCGGCUUAUCGGCCGGCUCCCUUU